CCUACGGUGUGCAGCAGGGAGGACUAUUGGUCAAUGGGCGAGAGCCUGAACCAGCCAAGUCGCGUGAAGGAUGACGGCCCUACGGGUUGUAACCUUCUUUUGUCAGGGAGCACUUGGGUCCACGCUUGGGCUUAGCGAGAGUACCUGAAGAAAAAGCAUCGGCUAACUCCGUGCCAGCAGCCGCGGUAAUACGUAGGGGGCAAGCGUUAUCCGGAUUUACUGGGUGUAAAGGGAGCGUAGACGGGGAGACAAGGCUGAAGUGAAAGCCCGGGGCACAACCCCGGGACUGCUUUGGAAACUGCCUGACGGGAGUGCUGGAGAGGCAAGCGGAAUUCCUAGUGUAGCGGUGAAAUGCGUAGAUAUUAGGAAGAACACCAGUGGCGAAGGCGGCUUGCUGGACAGUAACUGACGUUGAGGCUCGAAAGCGUGGGGAGCAAACAGGAUUAGAUACCCCUGUAGUC
rnacentral:rRNA from 1 species